GGAUGUAGCGCAGCUUGGUAGCGCAUCUGCUUUGGGAGCAGAGGGUCACAGGUUCAAAUCCUGUCAUCC
rnacentral:ncRNA from 12 species